rnacentral:rRNA from 1 species
AGAGUUUGAUCCUGGCUCAGAGCGAACGCUGGCGGCAGGCCUAACACAUGCAAGUCGAGCGAAGCCUUCGGGCUUAGCGGCGGACGGGUGAGUAACGCGUGGGAACGUGCCCUUCUCUAAGGAAUAGCCACUGGAAACGGUGAGUAAUACCUUAUACGCCCUUCGGGGGAAAGAUUUAUCGGGGAAGGAUCGGCCCGCGUUGGAUUAGGUAGUUGGUGGGGUAAUGGCCUACCAAGCCGACGAUCCAUAGCUGGUUUGAGAGGAUGAUCAGCCACACUGGGACUGAGACACGGCCCAGACUCCUACGGGAGGCAGCAGUGGGGAAUCUUAGACAAUGGGGGCAACCCUGAUCUAGCCAUGCCGCGUGAGUGAUGAAGGCCUUAGGGUCGUAAAGCUCUUUCGCCAGGGAUGAUAAUGACAGUACCUGGUAAAGAAACCCCGGCUAACUCCGUGCCAGCAGCCGCGGUAAUACGGAGGGGGUUAGCGUUGUUCGGAAUUACUGGGCGUAAAGCGCGCGUAGGCGGGCUGUUAAGUCAGGGGUGAAAUCCCGGGGCUCAACCCCGGAACUGCCCUUGAUACUGGCAGCCUUGAGUUCGAGAGAGGUGAGUGGAAUUCCGAGUGUAGAGGUGAAAUUCGUAGAUAUUCGGAGGAACACCAGUGGCGAAGGCGGCUCACUGGCUCGAUACUGACGCUGAGGUGCGAAAGUGUGGGGAGUAAACAGGAUUAGAUACCCUGGGUAGUCCACACCGUAAACGAUGAAUGCCAGUCGUCGGAUAGUAUACUAUUCGGGUGACACACCUAACGGAUUAAGCAUUCCGGCCUGGGGAGUACGGUCGCAAGAUUAAAACUCAAAGGGAAUUGACGG